GUGUUUUCUCAGCUGUGGCUGGAGAUGAGAGUAGUCCUAACCUCAUCGGGUCCUUGAAAGAACGCAGUGAGAUCAUUCUCUUCUGGCACUUGGCAUGGCGCCUGGCACAUACGCUGCUGUGUUAGCGUCCGAGUCGGAGUCUGAAUCUGAGUCUCUUUCCCUCUUUUCCUUUAUCGUGAAGGCCAGAGAGAAAGGGGUUCAAGUUGGGGUUCUCUCCAGGAGAGUGCUCAGGUGGAAUGGCUUCAAGGUGACUGUUUUACUCCCACAAACAUUUAGCGCCACUCUCACCCCGUACAAAACAGCUGGGUGAGCCUGGCUCAGAGGCCAGAGCCAUGUGGUUCUGAGUCCUUCCUCACCUGCUGGACACAGCCCUCGUGAAAUAGUAAGCGGUGGCUUGUGAUGGGCACAUGCGCCCACUUUUCUCACAUCCACAGAGAAAGAGCAGAGUGCUGCUCAGGACAGGCCCUUGCCCCAGAAAUGACCUAAACUGUCUCUAGGGCUGGGCUGAAAUGAGGAUGUGCCUGUGACAGACCUGCUGGAAAGAGGAUCUGCAGGGGAGACCUGUACCUGGGCAAGACUUCAUGGAAGAAAAAUAUAAGCUGGACCUUAAGACUCAGAGCUGACCUGACAUAGACCUUGGAACUUUCCCACAACACAGCUUUAACUGAAGAGAAGUCGCUACAGGCAAGCUUUUGACAAUGUCCAGGAUGGCACUGUCAACACCAGCUUAUUUUGCUCAGCAGAUACACGGAUUGGAAUGGAAAUAAAAACACCUAUUUGUGGUCUAAACAAAAUCCUACGUCCACACAGUACUUUCAAAUAUUUUCUUUUACAUGUUAAAAAUGAUCCCUGGGAGGAGAUGAGCAGUGCCCCUUCAUACACCGCAAAUCUAGGACUGGAAAAGCUCAGAGCACAGGGACUGGGGUUAACUUCCCAGGACUCCGGGACCUGAGAGGCUCCAUCAGGGCCCCAGGCCACACUGACUAGACUUGCCAGUACCCAAAUCUGACAUGAUUUCACUAAUGGCUCACACUUAACAACUGCAGAAACCUGGAUGCUAACUAGAAGCUUGGGUUAACUCUUCUUUAGAAACAGAAGAGAACAGCGUGCUGGAUCAAAAUGAACAUACUCUAGGAUUUUCCAAAGCUCAUAUUGCAAUCUGCAGCAGACCUUGAGAAAAUCAACUUAGUGGAUUUUUCUAUUUAGUGUUAAUUUGGAGACUAUUUUCUACUUAUUUAAAUGUUAUUAAAAUAAUAUGUGAUAUCAAUCUGUUAUUCUUUUACCCAACAUAGUAAUGGGUUUGUGUGUGUGUGUGUGCUCUUGUUUCUGUUUUAUAAGUCUUCUAUAUGUGUCUAUGUCACAACAUAAACUGUAUUUCUUACUGAGAGCUGUAAAAAAAGUUUGAAAAGCACUUCUUUGGUAGAUACCGGAACUGAGAAAAGUAGUUUGAUUUCUGUUUGAUCUUAGGGAACUUUAGGAAGUUUCGUGUAAAAAUGAAGAGGCGGGGGCAGUAUUUCCUGAGUGAUGACCAUUUUGUAGACCCUGUGCUUGAUGUUAAGCCAUCCAACAAGAGCUGGCCUUAUGGGGACUGGAGGGUGGGGGUUGUGAGGGGCUUAUCAGGAAUUUCACCUGUUUUCUGGAUGAAGGGAAUUGAAUUCCUCCAAAGUCACAGCUAGUAAGAGGCAGAUUCUGAAUUCCAACCUGAUAGUCCACUGACUAUUAACUGCAGUUUCUUAGCUAUAGGGGAAGGAGGAGGAGGGGAAACUUAAAUUGCUUCAUUCAAGUUAGCUCUAAAAUAUCCUACUUGGAUCUAAAUCAUGAGUAUCAUCACCUCACCACCGUGGCUAACAUUCAUUAAACCCUCACUUUGUUUCAGCCACUAUAUUAAGUGCCUUAAAAUCUUCAUUUCACUUAAUCCUCACAAAAACCUUAUGAGAUAUGUACUAUAAUCAUCCCUGUUUACUGCAGGCUUUCAGUAACUUGACCAGAGUCACACAAACAUUGUGGAUGCAAAAUCCAAAUGCACAUUAAAUAGUUGGAUGAAGCUUUUUCUUUUAUAUAUACCUUCUACACAUAUUCGGGGAAAAUAUCUGCUAAAAUAGCUAUUUCCCCUCAAACUGUUGGAGUCUGAAGAGUUGAAAUCUCAAUUUCUCACCUAUGAAAUAAAGUUGAGAUUUGGGGCACCUGGGUGUCUCAGUCAGUUGAGUGUCUGACUCUUGAUUUUGGCUCAGGUCAUGAUCUCACGGUUCAUGAGAUCAAGCCCUGCAUCAGGCUCUGCACUGAGCAU